rnacentral:rRNA from 1 species
CUUUCUUUGCUGGCGACCGGCGCACGGGUGAGUAACACGUAUCCAACCUGCCCUUUACUCGGGGAUAGCCUUUCGAAAGAAAGAUUAAUACCCGAUAGUAUAAUGAUUCCGCAUGGUUUCAUUAUUAAAGGAUUCCGGUAAAGGAUGGGGAUGCGUUCCAUUAGGUUGUUGGUGAGGUAACGGCUCACCAAGCCUUCGAUGGAUAGGGGUUCUGAGAGGAAGGUCCCCCACAUUGGAAUUGAGACACGGCCCAA